GGAAUUCGAUUAACGCGAAGAACCUUACCCAGGCUUGAACAGCGAGUGACCAGCUCCGAAAGGAGCCUUCCGCAAGGACACUCGUAGAGGUGCUGCAUGGCUGUCGUCAGCUCGUGUCGUGAGAUGUUGGGUUAAGUCCCGCAACGAGCGCAACCCUUGUUUGCUGUUGCCAUCACGUUAUGGUGGGCACUCUGCAAAGACUGCCGGUGAUAAACCGGAGGAAGGUGGGGAUGACGUCAAGUCAGCAUGGCCUUUAUGUCUGGGGCUACACACGUGCUACAAUGGCCGAUACAAACCGUCGCGAUACCGUAAGGUGGAGCUAAUCGGAGAAAGUCGGUCUCAGUUCGGAUCGUAGGCUGCAACUCGCCUGCGUGAAGUUGGAAUCGCUAGUAAUCGCGGAUCAGCACGCCGCGGUGAAUACGUUCCCGGGCCUUGUCACACCGAAUCACUA
rnacentral:rRNA from 1 species